rnacentral:snoRNA from 1 species
UAAAGGUUCUAAUUUCUCCACAUCUUCAUCAACAUUUGUUUCCUUUUUUUAAAAUCAUAGCCACCUAGUGGGUGUGACACGGCAUCUCAUAGUGACUUUGAUUG